rnacentral:rRNA from 1 species
GAUGAACGCUGGCGGCGUGCCUAAUACAUGCAAGUCGAGCGAACAGACGAGGAGCUUGCUCCUCUGACGUUAGCGGCGGACGGGUGAGUAACACGUGGAUAACCUACCUAUAAGACUGGGAUAACUUCGGGAAACCGGAGCUAAUACCGGAUAAUAUAUUAACCGCAUGGUUCAAUAGUGAAAGACGGUUUUGCUGUCACUUAUAGAUGGAUCCGCGCCGCAUUAGCUAGUUGGUAAGGUAACGGCUUACCAAGGCAACGAUGCGUAGCCGACCUGAGAGGGUGAUCGGCCACACUGGAACUGAGACACGGUCCAGACUCCUACGGGAGGCAGCAGUAGGGAAUCUUCCGCAAUGGGCGAAAGCCUGACGGAGCAACGCCGCGUGAGUGAUGAAGGUCUUCGGAUCGUAAAACUCUGUUAUUAGGGAAGAACAAAUGUGUAAGUAACUAUGCACGUCUUGACGGUACCUAAUCAGAAAGCCACGGCUAACUACGUG